UACGUAGGAGGCGAGCGUUGUCCGGAUUUAUUGGGCGUAAAGAGCGCGCAGGCGGCACAUCAAGUACGGCAGUGAAAUCUCCCCUGCUCAACGGGGAGGGUGCAGCGUAAACGUGGUGAGCUCGAGGACGGUAGAGGGGGGUAGAAUUGCUGGUGUAGCGGUGAAAUGCGUAGAGAUCAGCAGGAAUACCCGUGGCGAAGGCGGCCCCCUGGGCCGAACCUGACGCUGAGGCGCGAAGGCUAGGGGAGCGAACGGGG
rnacentral:rRNA from 1 species